GACGAACGCUGGCGGCGUGCUUAACACAUGCAAGUCGAACGGAAAGGCCCUGCUUUUGUGGGGUGCUCGAGUGGCGAACGGGUGAGUAACACGUGAGUAACCUGCCCUUGACUUUGGGAUAACUUCAGGAAACUGGGGCUAAUACCGGAUAGGAGCUCCUGCUGCAUGGUGGGGGUUGGAAAGUUUCGGCGGUUGGGGAUGGACUCGCGGCUUAUCAGCUUGUUGGUGGGGUAGUGGCUUACCAAGGCUUUGACGGGUAGCCGGCCUGAGAGGGUGACCGGCCACAUUGGGACUGAGAUACGGCCCAGACUCCUACGGGAGGCAGCAGUGGGGAAUAUGGCACAAUGGGCGGAAGCCUGAUGCAGCAACGCCGCGUGCGGGAUGACGGCCUUCGGGUUGUAACCCGCUUUCGCCUGUGACGAAGCGUGAGUGACGGUAAUGGGUAAAGAAGCACCGGCUAACUACGUG
rnacentral:rRNA from 1 species